rnacentral:rRNA from 1 species
CCUACGGGUGGCAGCAGUGAGGAAUAUUGGUCAAUGGACGAGAGUCUGAACCAGCCAAGUAGCGUGAAGGAUGACUGCCCUAUGGGUUGUAAACUUCUUUUAUAUGGGAAUAAAAUGUUCCACGUGUGGGAUUUUGUAUGUACCAUAUGAAUAAGGAUCGGCUAACUCCGUGCCAGCAGCCGCGGUACUACGGAGGAUCCGAGCGUUAUCCGGAUUUAUUGGGUUUAAAGGGAGCGUAGGUGGAUUGUUAAGUUAGUUGUGAAAGUUUGCGGCUCAACCGUAAAAUUGCAAUUGAAACUGGCAGUCUGGAGUACAGUCGAGGUGGGCGGAAUUCGUGGUGUAGCGGUGAUAUGCUUAGAUAUCACGAAGAACUCCGAUUGCGAAGGCAGUUCACUGGACUGCAACUGACACUGAGGCUCGAAAGUGUGGGUAUCAAACAGGAUUAGAUACCCGUGUAGUC